GAUGAAGAACGUAGUGAAAUGCGAUACGUAGUGUGAAUUGCAGAAUUCAGUGAAUCAUCGAAUCUUUGAACGCACAUUGCACCUCUCGGUAUUCCGGGGGGCAUGCCUGUUCGAGCGUCAUUUCAACCCUCAAGCUCUGCUUGGUAUUGGGCUCCGUCCUCCUCGGACGCGCCUCAAAGACCUCGGCGGUGGCGUCUUGCCUCAAGCGUAGUAGAAACACCUCGCUUUGGAGUGCAUGGCGUCGCCCGCCGGACGAAACCUUUUGUAUUUUCUCAAAGGUUGACCUCGGAUCAGGUAGGGAUACCCGCUGAACUUAAGCAUAUCAAUAAGCGGAGG
rnacentral:misc_RNA from 1 species